GGUGGAUCAGGGGAGGGUAGUAGGCGGGGAGGAAUAUGGGGCAUGGGCAGGAGCAGUAGCAUGCGGGUAUCAGAUCUACCUUCAGAUCCGAGGAUGUACAAAGAGGCAGGAGGGACACAAAAGAAAAUAAAGGAGAUGUUUAGUGGAGGGGAUGUGAGGAAAAAAGUUAGAAAAUUUAUAGCAAAUUUUUUUUAUAUACGAUCAAAUCCCUGCAAAUGCCGGGCAAGCACGCACUUCAAAAAUAUGACAAGUGAAGUGCAGCGUGGGGGUGAGGGUGUGCAGCCGCCCACACCUGCACAGAUCAUGGGGAAAUACUUGGAUGAUGAACAUGUAAAAAUGAAGACAUACGUUGAUUCGUAUCGGCAGUCAUGGGAGAUGUACGGCUGCACCGUCAUGUGUGACGGUUGGACCGGACCGAUGAAGAUGUCGAUUAUAAAUUUUAUGGUCUAUUCUAGGGGACGGGCGGUGUUCCUAAAGACUAUAUAUGCGAGUAGUAAGAUCAAGGAUUCUAACUACAUUUACAAACUAAUGCACAACAUCAUGCAAGAUGUUGGGAGGAAAAAUAUUGUGCAGUUUGUUACGGAUAAUGGAAGUGCAUUUGUUAAGGCGGGGAAGGAUAUUCAAAGCAAGUAUCAUAUGUAUUGGACCCCUUGUGCAGCCCAUUGCAUCGAUCUCAUGCUGGAGGGGAUUGGGGAUAGGCCGUCGGUGAAGACUGUAAUUACUGAUGCACGGCUCAUCACAAACUUUGUAUACAACCACGGCUGGUUAUUAGCCGCAAUGCGCGAGAGGUGUGGUAGGGAUAUAGUGCGCCCCAGAGCGACGCGGUUCACCACAAAUUAUAUUGCCUUAAGUAGCCUUCUCAAACACAAACAGGGGUUACGAGAGCUUUUCGCCUCUCAUGAUUACGUAGAAUGGAAAAAGAGGUUGACAAAAGUAACCUAUAGAAUUGAGGAGCUGGUGCUGGGAAAUUUAUUUUGGGAUAAAGUGCGUGGUGUUGAGGAUGGUGGACAAUGAGACAAAUCCGUCGAUGGGGUCGCUGUAUCCGUCUAUACAGCUGAUGAAAGAGGCCAUCAUGGUUAAAGCUCCCAAUGCAUAUAAGUGGGUGCAUGCAAUAAUAGACGACCGUUGGGAAAGGACGCUUUCCCACCCACUACAUCAGGCUGGUAAGUACCUAUAUGGAUUUUUUUUCCAUAUGCAAUAAUAAACGAGGGUUGUACUGAUGUGUAUAUGUUGGUUUUCAGCGUAUUUCCUGAAUCCCAAAUACCACUACAGCCGUCACCUCUUCGAAGAUAAUUCAUUAAAGAGGGCUGUGCAUGAGGUGUACGAUCACUUAUUCCCCGACUGUCCGGGGAAAGGCACCUUUGGUAGUGAGAUUGUUAAAUUCUGCGACCCGGUUGGAAUGUUUGGGUGUCACCCUGCGGUGAAGUCAAGGAAUGCCAUGGUGGCAUGCGAAUGGUGGUCCAUGUAUGGGACUGAUUGCGAGGUUUUACAACGACUGGCUGUCCGUGUGCUUGCACAGAUGGUGUCCUCGUCACCCUAUGAAAGGAAUUGGAGUACAUUCUCCCUCAUACAUACAAAUAAACGUAAUAGAAUAGGGUACGAGAGGCUUCAGAAGCUAGUGUAUUGUCACUACAAUAUGAAGUUACGAGAGAGGUUGCUCCACUCGGAAGGAAGAAGAAAAGCACAGGAAGACCCACUGGACCUGAUGACGGUCGGACAACAUGCAUAUGUUAAGGAUGCGGAGGAUGACCCAGUUUACCAGUGGGUUAGGUCGGAUGACUUAGAUACCUCAGAUAGGCGACCAGAGCCACAUAUUGCGGCAGAAGCAGAGACACAAGGGAUUGAUGUUGACAAACAUGUGGAGCAACAGAGGUCUCCUGAUGAAGCAUUCGACCCAUUGGCGAGGAGUUCGGAGGGCAGCCCGCGACAGUCACUAUCACGCGGGACACGUGGUGGGGAAACAUUGUCUGACACCGAGACUGAGUCAGAGAGUGAUGCGGGAAAUGAGUCCGGUGAUGAUGAUGGCGGCGGCGACAAG